rnacentral:rRNA from 1 species
AUACCGGGCCUUUUUGGGCUUGGUAAUCGGAAUGAGGGAGAGUUAAACGGACCAUCGAGUAUCCAUUGGAGGGCAAGUCUGGUGCCAGCAGCUGCGGUAAUACCAGCUCCAAUAGCGUAUAUUAAAGUUGUUGCAGUUAAAAAGCUCGUAGUUGGACUUGUGUGCGCUGUCCGCGGGUGGCCUGCGCCCAAAAGGGCGUUUCGGUUCGGCCCCGGUGGCGCCUUGAAAUCUGCAGCUGGGGGGACGUUGGCCUUAACUGGUCGGCGACCGCACGCCGGCUGCUCGGUUACUGUGAGAAAAUUAGAGUGUUCAAGGCAGGCAUUGGGAGCAAUUGAAUACAUUAGCAUGGAAUAAUAAAAUAUGGCUCCUGCCGUAUUUUGUUGGUUUUGACUGGUGGGAGUAAUGAUUGAUAGGGACGGUUGGGGGUUAGUAUUGAGCGGCCAGAGGUGAAAUUCAUGGAUUCGCUCAAGACUAACUUAUGCGAAAGCAUUCACCAAGGACGUCCUCUUUAAUCAAGAACGAAAGUUGGGGGAUCGAAGACGAUCAGAUACCGUCGUAGUCUCAACCAUAAACUAUGUCGACUUGGGAUCGGCGGUAGUUUUUUCAUUAAGACACUGUCGGGACCACGGGAGAAAUCAAAGUGUCUGGACUCUGGGGGAAGUAUGGUCGCAAGGCUGAAACUUGAAGGAAUUGACGGAAGGGCACCACCAGGAGUGGAGCCUGCGGCUUAAUUUGACCCAACACGGGGAAACUUACCAGGUCCAGAGAUGUAGAGGAUUGACAGAUUGAAGCUCUUUCUUGAUCACUUCGGUGGUGGUGCAUGGCCGUUCUUAGUUGGUGGAGUGAUUUGUCUGGUUAAUUCCGUUAACGAACGAGACCUCAGCCUGCUAGUGUAGUCGGCUGGAUUGCCUUUGGCGAUCCGUGAUUUCGACUUCUUAGAGGGACAAUCAACGCGCAGUCGAUGGAAGUUUGAGGCAAUAACAGGUCUGUGAUGCCCUUAGAUGUUCUGGGCCGCACGCGCGCUACACUGCUGGGCUCAGCGAGUUUUACUUGGCCGAGAGGCCCGGUUAAUCUUGUGAAAUCCCAGCGUGCUUGGGCUCGCCUCCUGCAACUGGAGGCGCCAACGAGGAAUUCCUAGUAGACGCAGGUCAUCAACCUGCAUCGAUUACGUCCCUGCCCUUUGUACACACCGCCCGUCGUUCCAUAAGAGUGAGGCAUCCGGUGAAUUCUCGGGAGAGCCUGGGCGUGGCCAGCAAUGGUCUGCUCGGGUUUGAACUUGCAUAAACUUGGUGCCUAUGAUUAGGG